rnacentral:rRNA from 1 species
GAUGAACGCUGGCGGCGUGCCUAAUACAUGCAAGUCGAGCGAACAGACGAGAGUGCUUGCACUCUCUGACGUUAGCGGCGGACGGGUGAGUAACACGUGGGUAACCUACCUAUAAGACUGGGAUAACUUCGGGAAACCGGAGCUAAUACCGGAUAAUAUUUAGCUUCGCAUGACGCAAUAGUGAAAGACGGUUCUGCUGUCACUUAUAGAUGGACCCGCGGUGUAUUAGCUAGUUGGUGAGGUAACGGCUCACCAAGGCAACGAUACAUAGCCGACCUGAGAGGGUGAUCGGCCACACUGGGACUGAGACACGGCCCAGACUCCUACGGGAGGCAGCAGUAGGGAAUCUUCCGCAAUGGACGAAAGUCUGACGGAGCAAUGCCGCGUGAGUGAAGAAGGUUUUCGGAUCGUAAAGCUCUGUUGUAAGGGAAGAACAAGUACGUUAGUAACUGAACGUACCUUGACGGUACCUUACCAGAAAGCCACGGCUAACUACGUG